AGAAAAAUAAGUUGUGCUUUGUAUUAAUGAUGUUGUGUGCCCUCUUGAAAACUAAUACAAGCUUCUGCCUAUUGUAAAGGAAAGUGGCCGACAAAGUCGCAGCUGCUGGAUUCUUUGUGGCCGUUCCUGACUUCUUGAAGGGGGAUCCUUUUGUUCGUGCAGAUAAUAAAAGGCCUAUGAGCGUUUGGAUUAAAGAUCAUAGCACGGACGAGGGAUUUGAAUUUGCCAAAGUAGUGAUUCAGGAUUUGAAAAAUAGAGGCUAUUCUGCAAUAGGUGCUGCAGGCUUUUGUUGGGGUGCCAAGGCUGCAAUUCAACUCGCAAAGUGCGACUCUAUUAAGGCUGCUGCCCUCUUACAUCAAUCUUACGUCACUGUGGAUGACAUCAAAGGU